rnacentral:rRNA from 1 species
UACGUAGGGGGCUAGCGUUGUCCGGAAUCAUUGGGCGUAAAGAGCGUGUAGGCGGUCCGGUAAGUCCGCUGUGAAAGUCGGGGGCUCAACCCUCGAAUGCCGGUGGAUACUGUCGGGCUAGAGUGCGGAAGAGGCGAGUGGAAUUCCCGGUGUAGCGGUGAAAUGCGCAGAUAUCAGGAAGAACACCCGUGGCGAAGGCGGCUCUCUGGGACGGUACUGACGCUGAGACGCGAAAGCGUGGGGAGCGAACAGG